rnacentral:rRNA from 1 species
UACGUAGGGGGCAAGCGUUGUCCGGAUUUAUUGGGCGUAAAGAGCGUGUAGGCGGUUAGGUAGGUCCGUUGUGAAAACUCGAGGCUCAACCUCGAGACGCCGAUGGAAACCAUCUGACUAGAGUCCGGAAGAGGAGAGUGGAAUUCCUGGUGUAGCGGUGAAAUGCGCAGAUAUCAGGAAGAACACCCGUGGCGAAGGCGGGUCUCUGGGCCGAUACUGACGCUGAGGAGCGAAAGCGUGGGGAGCGAACAGG